AAGUGCCCCCAGUGCAGAUCUUGGUGGUAGUAGCAAAUAUUCAAAUGAGAACUUUGAAUACUUAAGUGGGGAAAGGUUCUAUGUGAACAAAACUUGGACAUGGGUUAGUCGAUCCUAAGAGAUGGGGAAUACAUGUAUCAAGGGUUCACUUUGCACUAACAUCGAAAGGGAAUCGGUUUAAUAUUCCCGAACUGGGACAUGGCGGUGGAAGGAAACAUUAGGAAAUCGGGUGACAUCAUCGAGACCCUAGGAAGAGUUGUCUUUUCUUUUUAAUGGUUUGCCCACCCUGAAAUCAGUUCAACCAGAGAUAGGUUCCAGUAGCUGGAAGAGAACCUCACAUCUUAUGGUGUCCGGUGUCCCCUCGACGACCAUUAAAAAUCUGGAGGACCGAGUACCUUCCAUGCCCGAUUGUACUCAUAACUGCAUCAAGUCUCCAAGGUGAAUAAUCUCUGGUUAAUAGAACAAUGUAGGCAAGGGAAGUCGAAAAAAUGGAUCUGUAACUUUGGGAAAAGGACUGGCUCUGAGGGCUGGGCCUAGGGUUCUGUGUCUUCAACCCAUGGGUAGUCGGUAUUUUUCCCAAGCUACUCUCGCGGUGAGGGCGGGCUGUCAUGUGUCAAUUGGGCUAUGGAAGUAGAAUGUCCCCUCGUUGGGGAUUUUUUGUAGGCGGUGAAAAGUCAACUCAGAACUGGUACAAAGAAGGGGAAUCCGACUAUUUAAUUAAAACAAAGCAUUGUUAUGGUCCCUGCGGAUGCUGGCACAAUGUGAUUUCUACCCGGUGCUCUGAAUGUCAAAGUGAAGAAAUUCAACCAAGCGUGGGUAAAUGAUGGGAGUAAAUAUGACUCUAUUAAGGUAGCCAAAUUCAAAGAACAUCUAAUUAUUGAUGCGUUUGAAUGCAUUAACAAGAUUCACACUAUCCCUAUCUACUAUCUAGUGAAACCACAACCAAGGGAACGAUCUUGGUAGAAUCAGU
rnacentral:ncRNA from 1 species